AGCUUUGCGCAGUGGCAGGAUCGUAGCCAAUGAGGUUUACCCGAGGCGCGAUUAUUGCUAAUUGUUAAGAGGAAGAUGAAGAAAUACAGUCAAUUCCCAGGAA
rnacentral:snRNA from 1 species